rnacentral:rRNA from 1 species
UCACAGGUGCUGCAUGGCUGUCGUCAGCUCGUGUCGUGAGAUGUUGGGUUAAGUCCCGCAACGAGCGCAACCCUUAUCCCUAGUUGCCAUCAGGUAAAGCUGGGAACUCUGGGGAGACUGCCGGUGAUAAACCGGAGGAAGGCGGGGAUGACGUCAAGUCCUCAUGGCCCUUACAUCCCGGGCUACACACGUGCUACAAUGGCAGGUACAGAGGGCUGCGAAGCCGCGAGGUGGAGCGAAUCCCAGAAAACCUGUCUCAGUCCGGAUUGAAGUCUGCAACUCGACUUCAUGAAGGCGGAAUCGCUAGUAACCGCGAAUCAGCAGGUCCGCGGUCGAAUACGUUCCCGGGCCUU